rnacentral:rRNA from 1 species
AACAUCUAAGUACCCCGAGGAAAAGAAAUCAACCGAGAUUCCCCCAGUAGCGGCGAGCGAACGGGGAGCAGCCCAGAGCCUGAAUCAGUGUGUGUGUUAGUGGAAGCGUCUGGAAAGGCGCGCGAUACAGGGUGACAGCCCCGUACACAAAAAUGCACAUAUUGUGAGCUCGAUGAGUAGGGCGGGACACGUGGUAUCCUGUCUGAAUAUGGGGGGACCAUCCUCCAAGGCUAAAUACUCCUGACUGACCGAUAGUGAACCAGUACCGUGAGGGAAAGGCGAAAAGAACCCCGGCGAGGGGAGUGAAAAAGAACCUGAAACCGUGUACGUACAAGCAGUGGGAGCCUCUUUUAUGGGGUGACUGCGUACCUUUUGUAUAAUGGGUCAGCGACUUAUAUUCUGUAGCAAGGUUAACCGAAUAGGGGAGCCGAAGGGAAACCGAGUCUUAACUGGGCGUUAAGUUGCAGGGUAUAGACCCGAAACCCGGUGAUCUAGCCAUGGGCAGGUUGAAGGUUGGGUAACACUAACUGGAGGACCGAACCGACUAAUGUUGAAAAAUUAGCGGAUGACUUGUGGCUGGGGGUGAAAGGCCAAUCAAACCGGGAGAUAGCUGGUUCUC